AUGAAAAUAUUAAGUUGGAACUACCGUGGGAUAGGCGAUCCCGCGACAGUUCGUGAACUCCGUGAUCUCCUUGAGAUAAGCUCGCCAUCUAUCCUUUGUUUAGUAGAAACUCAGUUACAUAAGGCUCGUGUUGAGGGUCUUCGUUCUUCCUUAGGUUUUGAUUUCAGUUUUGGUGUUGGUAGUACUGGUCGAAGUGGCGGCAUUUGUAUCUUUUGGAAAGACUCUCUUGAUGUUGCAAUAAAGAACUAUUCAGAGUAUCAUGUGGAAACCUGGGUUACCGAACCAGGUAGGGAACAAUGGAGGUUGACGUGUUUUUAUGGAGAAGCAACAAGAAGUUUGAGGUAUAAAACAUGGAACACAAUGAUGAGACUUAGGGGGGAGAGUACCCUCCCAUGGAUGUGCAUAGGUGAUUUCAACGAGAUCUUGAGAGCUAAUGAAUAA
rnacentral:rRNA from 1 species